UCCUUGGUGGGUCCAGUGGCUAAGACUCUGUGCUUCCAAUGCAGGGGCCCCAGGUUCAAUCCCUGGUCAGGGAA
rfam:TPA: Bos taurus chromosome 18, whole genome shotgun sequence.